GGUCCUGUGGUGUAGUGGUUAUCACGCCUGCUUUACACGCAGAAGGUCCCGGGUUCGAUUCCCGGUAGGACCA
rfam:Monodelphis domestica chromosome X, whole genome shotgun sequence.